GAUGAACGCUGGCGGCGUGCUUAACACAUGCAAGUCGAACGAAGCACUUUAUUUGAUUUCCUUCGGGACUGAUUAUUUUGUGACUGAGUGGCGGACGGGUGAGUAACGCGUGGGUAACCUGCCUUGUACAGGGGGAUAACAGUUGGAAACGGCUGCUAAUACCGCAUAAGCGCACAGCAUCGCAUGAUGCAGUGUGAAAAACUCCGGUGGUAUAAGAUGGACCCGCGUUGGAUUAGCUAGUUGGUGAGGUAACGGCCCACCAAGGCGACGAUCCAUAGCCGACCUGAGAGGGUGACCGGCCACAUUGGGACUGAGACACGGCCCAAACUCCUACGGGAGGAAGCAGUGGGGAAUAUUGCACAAUGGGCGAAAGCCUGAUGCAGCGACGCCGCGUGAGCGAAGAAGUAUUUCGGUAUGUAAAGCUCUAUCAGCAGGGAAGAUAAUGACGGUACCUGACGAAGAAGCACCGGCUAAAUACGUG
rnacentral:rRNA from 1 species